UUUUUUAAAAUGUAAAUGGAGUAAAUGAUAAAAUGUAGACUGAAUUUAUCAUAAAGACAUUUUCUUUUGGUAUACUGCAAGGAACUAUGAACUUUUAGUAACUACUAUAAGCAACUGACAGGAAAAAAUGGCAACAGAAGAAGGAAAGAGGAGAGAAUGGGGAGCAGACACUAAGGUGUAGUGAAAGGAGGAAAAUGAAGGCUAAGUCUAAUGAUGUGAAUCCUCUUUGCAAUUCCAUCAAAGGAGGGAUCUUCCUACUGACCAGAAGACCUGAACAGCCUGAGAAUGAUUCCUUUCAACUCCGAGAGAAGAAGCUGCAGAUGAAGAGCAAGUAGGAUGGUGAAGUGCUUAAUCAGUGGCCAGGCAAUCAAUAAACACAACAGGAUACUGUUUACUGAAAACCCACCAAUCUGAUCUUUUAUGAGAAGCUAGUCCCUGAAAAGGCCCUUGGAUCAAAGGUCAAAAACUUGAAGCACAGAGUGGGAUGUCAGAUGCCAAGAUUUAAAUCUAGUCAUUUGAUUCCAGAGCCCACAUUCUUAAAUAAUAUGCUACACUGACCUUUAUUGUCUUUAAACAUUAUCUUUAUUUAAUGUGUUUCAUAGAAAUUACUUCUCAGGUAUUCCUAAAUUUAUUUUUAAAAAUAAUGUCAUGCUAUCACUAUAAUAUAGUUUUUUAAAUUAACUUGAGAGGUAAUGUAGUAUGAUCAACUUCCUUAAUGGCCUUUUAAACUGGAAAUAACUAUUAAAUAUUUUAAUAUUAUAAAUUAACAGGCAAAAUGGUGAAAAAUCUAACAUCUGGUUCUUAAAAGUAAGUUGAAAUAUAAGAUCAGAUUUGAAUGCACAUGGAAAAAUAGAACUGGCAAAUAAUGCCAUAUUUGAAGAUCUUUUAGUAUUCUCUGGUAUUUUUCCUUUCAUUUCAAAAUUGUUAUAUUCUUUUUAAUGACUUCAAAUGAAUUAGGAAAUGUCAGGCUUCUAAAAAUCAAACAGAACGUCCAACCAGUAGAUUUCAUUCAGGGCAGUGGGAGCCUGUUCGGUUGUUUCCUCUUUCCCCCUCACUUUUAAAAAUCCUCAAUCACUGCCAUUUCUCUUCUCAGCUUUCACAACACUUUACAGGCAGCUGAAUGAAAGGGCAGAAGCUUCCUCUGAAACUCCUGUUAUUUCAGCUCUAAAAUCAGCUGAAAAGGAUGCCCUCCCCAGAGACAGAAAUGCAUUCCCUCCAUCAUGAACCUGCAAUGCCCUCAGGUUGUGGCAAGGGAGAAGUUUAGCACUUGAACCUAGAUAACGCUAUUUUUUUAAUCAAAGUGCACCAUUCUUGUUUCAUAUGGCCUGUGGCACAAUUUAUUUAAAACAAUAUGGUGCAUCAAAGAAGGUAAACAAUAAUAACAAUAAUAAUAAUAUAGGAAUAGCAAUGUGCACAUAAAUAAUAUAGGAAAACACAUGGCCUCAGUACCUUCAUGAAAUGGGACUUCAAUAUACAUAUUUCUUAUACAGCUUUAUGCAUGACUUCAUUGCACUUCACUGCUCUGUUGUGUCACUCUACCAAUAAACCUAUACAUCAUACUGAGUGAAGUAUGUUCACAGUCCCUUUACUUGACAAAAAAAAAAAAAAAAAAAAAAAAA
rnacentral:lncRNA from 1 species